ensembl:lncRNA CEROX1 cytoplasmic endogenous regulator of oxidative phosphorylation 1
CUCCCCUCUCUGGAGCCCCGGGAAAGGAAGCGGGGCAGGGAGGCCGGGUGGGAGCAGGGGGGUCUCCGGCGCUUCCUCUCCUCUGCGGGCGCCGCGCGGCUCCUGAGAGUCCGCCCCCCGUCCUGACGCUCAGCUAGGAAGCGGGUCCUCGGGCCCCUCCCCCGACACACACACACACACACACACACACACACACACACACACACACUCUCUCUCUCUCUCUCUCUCUCUCUCUCUCUCUCUCUCUCUCUCACACACACACACACACACACAGCCCGUCUCGCGCCUGAGGUCUCGCCCGCAGGCCGGUGGCGCGGGGUCAGCUGCUGCCUGCGGUCCAGGACAGGGUCGGUUCCGCCGCGCAGCGCCCAGGCCCAGCUCGUCCAGAGUCUGCGGACAGCGCACGUCCAGGUAACGCGCUUCAAGGGGCCGCGGCUCGGAGCUGGGGGACCCCGGGCCGCCCUGCCCAUACGAGUGCGAGCGUGGAGAGCGCGGGCGGGGGCGCGGUCCCGGGGGCCGGCCAGCUGGAGGGGGCGGGAGCGCUGGGCGGGGCCUGCGCUGACCCCGGCGCUGAGUCCCUGGGGCCGCCGGGCGGAUGGCGUGGCCGGACGCGGGGGCCCCGGGCCUUCCGGGCGUGACCUAGGGCUCGGGGGCGGGGAGGCCCCUCCGGCGGGGCGGCCCUGGGUGGUCCGGCAGAGGCGGAGGCCGCUCCGAGCCUGUGAGCCCUGGGCGCCUGCGGAGGCGGGGAGAGGGCGGGGUGUGCCGCCCUGGUGGGGACCGCGGGGUCGGAGAGGGGACAUUGCCCCCCCCGAGGCGAACGUCCAACCGCGGGUCCGGGUCCCCGCCCAAGGCCGCCCCGCGAGGUGGCCUCGGCCCGGCCGUCCCCGAGGGUGGCUCGGAUCCUUUCAACCAGCGCGCUGGAGGCGAAGGGGCUGCGCCAUUCCGGGUCAGGCAGCCAACGCGGGACACGCGCGUCUCCGAGCUUGCGGCCCGCGAAACCCGGGUGACCUACCGCGCCGGUGCCCUCAAAGCCCCCACGCCCGGGCCGGUGGCCGCUGCAGCCACUGAGCCACGCGGUCUCCCCGGCCCGGUCGGCAGAAGGAGCUGGUCCGUUACUAGAAAAGUCCAGAUGCAAAGUCGGGGGUCGUGCUGCCGCUUCCUGCCAGCGCACCGCACCCACCUGGGGCCGCCACCGACCGCACAGGACGCGCCUCCUACCCCCUGUUCUGGCCCGGCCGAGAGCUGGUGCCCCCAGCGGCCGCCCGCCCCCGUCCGCAGACCCCGGGGCCCUUGCUGCUUUGCAUUGGGAACAACCGGAGCCAGGCCCGGAGCUGAGGGGGCCAGGGCCUUUGGAGGAAGCAUUGGCCUCCAGGCUGAAGAGCAAGGGCCGUGUCACCUGCCCGGAGGGCGGUCUCAUCUCUGCAGCCAGGUCAGAGGAAGCAGCGGUGGGGAGACGGAGUGCGCGAGUUGGGAGGCUCCACGCAUCGUAGGUGGAGAGCUGGCUGCCAGCCUGGCCUGCCCUCUCUUCCCCGUCCCACCAUCUCGCUUGGCUCCGGCACCUGCCUGGGAAGACCCACACCUCCGUCUGCAGUGCCUCUUCCCCCUGGAGGCCCUGCCCUCCGCUCGGGGUCCCCGCAUCCUUCCGUGGCCCUCAGAGCAUCGCCUGGGGCGCCCGCGGAACUCAUCUGUUAGGCCUGGGAUGCAGGCAGGCAGAAGUGGGGGUUUAAGUGGAAGCAGUGAGGGUGGGGGUCCGGUCCAAACUGUGCCACCUUCCACCCCCUGCCCCUGGGAGAGCAGACAUCGCCCACUCGGGCUCACAGUGCCAUCCGGGUGAGGACCUCCGUGGAGAGCUCUCUUUGCCAAAGAAAAGCAGUUGCAUUAGGUCUGCGAGCAGGCAGGGUGGCCUCUUCCUGGCUCCCCAUCCACCAAGGAAGCUUCAAGUCCCUGGGACACAGGCACUUUCCCACACAGGAUGGAGCCGGGCCACCCUCACAGCUCCUGCCCUGCAGACGCUGGCCUUGUGGAGGGAGGCAGGCAGCAGGAGCAGUGCUUUCUGGGCCUCUGUAGCCAGAGCUGGCCCUGCUGCAGCUUACGUCUGCCUGCAGCCCAGACGUCCUCCUGGUCCUCCUGAUGCCCCCGACCUCCACGGAGGACGAGCAUUUCCAGCCCAGCCCUCCCCAUCUUCACCUCGCACUCCCCUGACACACUGGGAGCCUCCUGAUCCGUGAACCCGCGCUGGCGGGAGUAGCUACUGACCGCUGGGGACCCCUGCCCAGGCUGUUCGCAUGUGGAAAGGAUUCAGGGAGCAGGCGAUGCCCAAAGCGUGGAGACCAGCACUGCUCUCUCCCCAGUGACAGUACAGCUGUGCCGUGUACAGGAGGGUGCUGUCUGACGCCAGACACCUGGACUACAGAUCGCAGCCUGAUUCCUGGUCAUUGCUCCACUGAACCCCAGACCCCAGCCUCGUUCUGGGCCCUCAUCCCCUAGAUCCAGGGACCCCAGCCCCAUUUCAGCCCUUGGGCCCUUGUAGGAUGCGAGGCCCUGGGCCCCAGCCCCCAGCCCAUCCGUGGCCCAGGCACUGGGGGGCUGAGGUCCUCUGAGAAGGGACACAGGGCCUGGGGGGCUCUCUCAGCCCAUCAGCAGGAGAGGACUGACUCCAGAAAAAUCAGCGUUUGUACCCACUCAGGCUGCCAAGACCUGUGUCCGUCCUUCCAAGCUCAACCUUCAGAGUUCAUGAGGCCCCUUGCCCAGAAUGUCCACAGAGUUCAUGAGGCCCCUUGCCCGGAAUGUCCACAUUUGAAACCUCCCAACACCGAGCCCCAUUUCAAGUAUAACCAGGAGGGAAAAUGGUGCUUGAAAUAAGCAUGCCACAAAGGAAAACCUGCUUUCUCGAAAUGGGCCCUGGCCGCCCAGGCCCUGACCUCCCCGGCCAGGAUGGAACGUUCCAGAGACCCAUUAGUGCCAAAGGCAAAUGAAAACACACCCUGUGAAAAUGUC